AUUUAUACUAAUAAUUGAUUCAGGCAAUAAAUAUCAGUGAAUUCCACAAAUAAGUGAAUGAAAAUUUGAUGAGCAAUAGCAUACAUAUAACUUUGUUUUGUUUUGUUUUGUUUUGUUUUGUGUUUUGUGUUUUUGAGACAAGAUCUCACUGUCUGACCCAGGCUGGCCUUGAACUCACUAUCCUCCUGCCUCAACCAUGAGUGCUGAGAUUACAAGUGUGCACCACCAGGCCCAGCUCCUAGCACUAAUAUUCUAUAAGAUAAGUUUCUAGGUUUCUUUUCUGGGGACUGGUCCUCGUGGUAGAGGGUGAGGGUGAGGAUCAGCUGAUAUUCUAUAUUUUAACAGUUGCCCCAAGGAAUCAUCAGGUUGAGGCCUUUUGCUUGCUGUGGCCGUUUGUGAAGCUUCCAUAAGGCUGAUGUGCUAAGGUGACAUGUGGACUCCUCCCCUCAGGAUUUUGUCUUCACCUGUGUGUAGACUCAGCUCCUCAAUUUAUCUGGAAUUCAAACCGCCCAGGGGACACGACUCUGCAGUCUUCCAGAGAGGCCUGGUGGCAAGGCAGGUUACCAGGCUUCAGCCCCCAUGUGAGCUGACUCAUUCCUUUCCCUUCUCCCUCUUCCUCCCUUUCCUGUGUUCAUUAGAAACUGGCUGUGAGAUGGGCUUUGUAAUGAGAUAUGAACACAGGGAAGUGCUUCUCCAUUUCAAGGAGAAAAGAAACCAGUGUCUGUGGUGACGGGCACCUGUGGAUUUUCAGUGGCGGCCUCUGCUUUCCUGUCUCUUUCAGGGCUGGGAAACAUCACUAGAGACACAGAUGUCACUGAUACCCUCGAGGCUAAUUAGACAUCCCGAUCAUUCUGGGUGCUUGCUUAAUUAAAACAUUCAUGCUGAUGUGUUAACACUGAGAUAUAUACUUGUAAGCAGCAGGAGUGCUUGAAAACAGAAAUGACCUCCAGAUAAAGCAUUGUGACCUCCUACCUCUAAGUGCUGCCUCCUGUGUGAGCCAAGUGGAGGGUCCUGUUUGGCCAGACU
ensembl:lncRNA